GUUCUCGAGGGAAUAACCGUAAUGGAACAUCAGUGAUUAGCUGGUAUGCAUGAUUCUGUAAAUGAAACGAAAGGAAGAUUAUAGGGAUACUUUGUCCAUUAAUUAAUUGUAAUACUUGUGUACUCUUCAAUUUUGAAGUCGUAGUUGACCACUUGGUUUCGACGACGAUUUCGAAGGAACUUACGAUAAUGCGAGUAGGGGACUGUCGCAACGAUUAACCGACCGUGCAGUGGUCAACCAGGCUCGAAAAAAAGCUACAUAAUAAAAGCCACCGCGAGGCGCGAGCACCGCUUAAGAUAAUAUACUUUUGCAUACAGAUGGGCUUAUUAAACAGAAAUCCGCAGAUGGAGGAACGCAUAAAGCACUGUCUACGGCGUCCUUGUCUGAUUAGGCAUGCAACGCCGCGCCCCGUGCUUCUCGAGCUUUUGCUCUUUCGUUACGGUCGGGGGUUCAGCGAUGUACGAAACGCUUGCGAGACACGUUCGCCGCAGCGUGUAAACCGAAGUUAAGUCCUCAGCAAAGCGUGCCUUCUGUUUCGAAAGCUCUCGCCAGGAAGCUAUGACCACAGGGGGAAUGAAAUUUCAUUUCUCACCGUAUCGAGAAAUUCUUCGCAGUUGUAACGUCCUGAAAUCGAAUAAUACACAAGGCGAUUUCAACGAUUUUCCAGUUAAAGGGCAAGCAUAGAAAAAUGUGCAGAAAGUUGGAGAAAUUGGUAGGUUUCACGACAAUUGUAAAGAAUUAUUUAUUCCUUUUCGAUACUUCUUUACGAAGUUAGUUACAUUUUAUUUUUUAAAGAGUGUUCCUCGGGGGCUGUAGCUAUGUUUGAUUGUAGCUACAGUUCGGGUUUAGCGAUCCCGAGGUAACCGAGCUAUAAGGACCACAGUGGGCCCCCAACAGACAUGUAUAGAAAUGUAAUGGAAGAAGUUAACGAUUGACACAUAACAAUGUAAAUGUAACAUGGAAAAAAGACACAUACGUGCAAGACUGGUGAAUUACAGCAAGCAAGACUAGAUCAAUAGGUACAGUGUAAAAGAAAUUACGUACCCUUAUAAAAGAAAGUAAAAGAAACGAGAAACAAACCAAACAAGCAAACGUUAGUCCUACGUCAUAAAAAAAAAAAACGCUCCACUUCGAUCACCGUUGGCCACCGAUUCCGCGAGCACCAGAGAGCAACAGACGGUCGCCAGUCAUUCCGUUGACAAUCGAUGCGUUAACAGUCAAUUAUUCUUUGCGCGUGUCACAGCAUCGCUGCGAUCCUCCCUCCUCCCCUCUGCAUCCUUUCUCUCCGUUUUUGUGCCAGGCUACUCUGCCACCCACAAUCCUCCCCCUCACCUGUCCCACUUUGCAAACAUUCAUCGGGCAGCCACGCAACGAUGAAAUUGCAUUUUGAUUCGCGCCACCCACUUUUGCCGGUUCCGGAUGCGGGACGUUAAUUAAAAUAAUUGAUAGUAUCAGCUGUCUUUGACCUAUGCGACGGUGUGCUAUGGCGCGUCUACUAUGACGUUGGCGUUCGGUUUUAUCGUGUGUAUCGCAUACGGACGCGUUGUCGAAUAAAUGCUGGUACCUGUCCUCCUGUUUGCUGAAGCCAAAUUCCCCCCCCCUCUCCCUCGCGAAACCCCUCGUGUUGGUGAAUUUCACCGAGGAUCGAAUAUUAAACUGCUUUGCGCGCAAUUAGAUCUCGUUGAUUAACGAAGGCGAGAAUUAAAUAACGGAAGCGAUAGCUGCUCCCCUCUACAGCCCCUCCCCCGUUUCUUUAAUUACUCCACGAUUAUUAGAGGGACGCGGAUCGCUUUCUCCCUCUGUCCUGGAUUAUUGUUUAGUAACACUUUCGUGUACACUCGCGUCCAAAAUGGAACUCGUGGGGUCUUGGUUUUAUCGCAAAGUUGACACGUUUUAUUUUGGAAACUGUUAUCGAAGUUAAGAUACUCCAUGUGUGAUAAUUUAUUGUAAAGUUGAUGGUACAUUGUAGAAUGAAAUAUUUUCAAAAGGAGAAAGUUCUAUCUAAUGUCGAUAUUGAGGCAACACUUUGGUAUAAUAUAUUAGAGGUAUAAAGAGUUUGUAUCCAAGUUCUUUCAAGUCAAAGAGUUAGAAUGCGACAGGUACUUUAGUAAAUCUUUGUGUACAUAUCAGUCACAAAACGAAACCCUCUAAAGUGUCAUACUAUUGCAAUCAAAAGAAAGAAACUUCCAAAACCAUGAUAUCCCCGAAUGACACAUUACGUCAAAUAGAAAUAUAUUACCCUUCUGACAUUAUAACUUGAAGUUUUACAUUUUAUUUCUCCUAGUGAUUACGAAGGUCCUGCAUCGUCAUUGUGUACAAUUACCCAACUCGACAAUUUUGUAACACAAAAUGUUAAUAGAGUCCAGAAGAACGCGUGAAAUUACCAAAAGAUCGUAUGUUCGUGAUUUCUAUCUUCAAUAAAAGAGUUGCGUGAUUGCUUCUCGAAAAUAGCUUCCAUUGUACGUGUACGUAUUCACAUGUUCCCCUGCACGCCUUGACAAUGAGGCCGAGGGAAGGAACAAGACUAAUUUGGAGAUAGAAAUGACAUCCACAUCUGCGUUCCAGCCAUUCGAUGGAAUGUCUUUAUUACAUAGCUCGUCCCGGAGUAUUGCACGUUCAGGAAUUUCUUCGUUUUUCGCGAUAAAGAUGGCCCCGCGGAAUACUGGAUGCUGUUGAACGACUCCCGCUGAUAAAGCCACCCCGCAGCGAUGUAAUUAAAACGCUAUACCGGCGUUACGUUUAAUGGGAAGACGAAAAUUAAUUAACAGUAAGAUAUCGCGGGUGGAAAUUCCUGCCGAGCGCCAGGCUCCGAACGAAAAUGUUUAAUUCACUUCGAGUUUCCUGAAAGAAUUGAUUAAUAUCCGUGGAACGCCGUCCACGUCGAUUGUAAUAAACUUUUAUUGUUUUCGAUUGAUAGAUCCAGGACGUCGGAUAACAUCGAGAGAUACGACCGUGUCCCAUUUUUUAUACUCUUUUGGGGGAUGUGGGAAAAAAGAACGAGUAUUUCCUGUGUUUGUUCUCAUACGAUUAUUAUCGAUUAUUCUACUUUUUUUCUCCUUUGGCUUCUACCCCUGAUGCGAUGCAUCGUUCCCUCCCACGCAAUGUCGGUCCUUCCUAUUAUCAGAAUAGACAAUUGACCGGCCAUAAUUCAAUUACGAGUCUCUCCCUCUUCUCUGUUCCGUCGACUUUUCUCCGGAUGAUCAAUCGGAAUUUGUCUUAUUUCCGCUUCAGUCUGCGCCCCACCCCUUCGUCGUUCUUCUGGGGGUUAGCGAUCUUUCUUUAUUCUUUUUCGUCCAAGGAAACGUUAAUUAAUUGCUUCCUCCCUUUUCUUCACUUUCUCCUAUUAGCCUUAAACUUCUCUGGAAAUUGAAGUCUGUUUAUCUUUUUUUCCCUCUUGCAUAAAACAUUGACGAAUUUCGUUAACUUGUACAUUCUUUGGUGAUGUACAACAUGUUUCCUUUUGGGAUGUUUAGAGAAAACAAGAAACACCAUUUUAUCAUUCGGUGGAUUCCAUUCAACUUCGUUUAACAUUUUUCAUUUUUAAUUAAUUUAAAGUACCUGUCGAGUGUCUUACAUAUAUAUUAAAUA